CCAUUGCUUUUGAAAAGUCAGACGCGUGCAGCUAUAAAACAACUGGUUUGAAAGACAAAAACCCAGGUGCUGCUAUUUGGCCAAAUCGUUGUGUGCUAAAGUGCAUGUUGAGGCUGGAGCAAUGAUUUGAAAUCUCACAUGCAGUAAGUCCGUGAUUCAUGCAGUUAGCUUGACAAUUGGAGCUUUUAGGUUGGAUGGACUUGAUGAUCUCAGAGGUCUUUUCCAGU